rnacentral:rRNA from 1 species
CUCCUACGGGAGGCAGCAGUGAGGAAUAUUGGACAAUGGGCGCAAGCCUGAUCCAGCCAUGCCGCGUGCAGGAAGAAGGUCCUAUGGAUUGUAAACUGCUUUUAUACAGGAAGAAACACAACCUCGUGAGGUUUCUUGACGGUACUGUAUGAAUAAGGAUCGGCUAACUCCGUGCCAG